UACGUAGGGGGCAAGCGUUAUCCGGAUUCACUGGGUUUAAAGGGUGCGUAGGCGGGUUGGUAAGUCCGUGGUGAAAUCUCCAAGCUUAACUUGGAAACUGCCGUGGAUACUAUCAAUCUUGAAUAUCGUGGAGGUAAGCGGAAUAUGUCAUGUAGCGGUGAAAUGCUUAGAUAUGACAUAGAACACCAAUUGCGUAGGCAGCUUACUACACGAUCAUUGACGCUGAGGCACGAAAGCGUGGGGAGCAAACAGG
rnacentral:rRNA from 1 species